AAACCAGGAUUAGAUACCCCACUAUAUGAGUCAUUAAAUAAACAAAUACCUGAGUACUACAAAUUUAAUUUUAAAACUCUAAGGACUUGGCGGUUUUUUAAACCUUUCUGGAGGAGCUUGCUAUUAAACCGAUAACCCACGUUACACCUCACCAAUCUUUGAAAAAUCAACCUGUAUACCAUCGUCCUCAGUACACCUUCCAAAAGAAGUCCACAAAAAGAAUAUAUUAUAUCUCUUCUUUACGUCAGAUCGAGGUGCAGUUUAUAGAUUGGGAAUAAGUGAGCUACAAUAUUUUCACUAAAAAUAAUUAAAAAUCAAUUAUGGAUAAAAACAUGAAAAAUAAUUUAAAAUAGAAUUCAGAAGUAAUAAAAAAAAGAAAA
rnacentral:rRNA from 1 species